rnacentral:tRNA from 1 species
GACCGGAUAGCUCAAAUGGUAGAGUAACCGGAAGGUUCUGGGUUCGAAUCCCAGUCCGAGCU